CCUACGGGGCGCAGCAGUGAGGAAUAUUGGUCAAUGGACGCAAGUCUGAACCAGCCAUGCCGCGUGCAGGAAGACGGCUCUAUGAGUUGUAAACUGCUUUUGUACGAGGGUAAACGCAGAUACGCGUAUCUGUCUGAAAGUAUCGUACGAAUAAGGAUCGGCUAACUCCGUGCCAGCAGCCGCGGUAAUACGGAGGAUUCAAGCGUUAUCCGGAUUUAUUGGGUUUAAAGGGUGCGUAGGCGGUCGGAUAAGUUAGAGGUGAAAUCCCGAGGCUCAACUUCGGAAUUGCCUCUGAUACUGGUCGGCUUGAGAGUAGUUGCGGUAGGCGGAAUGCAUGGUGUAGCGGUGAAAUGCUUAGAGAUCAUACAGAACACCGAUUGCGAAGGCAGCAUACCAAGCUACUUCUGACGUUGAGGCACGAAAGCGUGGGGAGCAAACAGGAUUAGAUACCCUAGUAGUC
rnacentral:rRNA from 1 species